CUGAUGGCGGCGUAUGGGUGGAAAUCGGAAUCAAUCGCCCAAUUCCCCUUCGCACCGGAGAAAAGUAUCCGGUAGGGCAACGCCUAAACGUCAG
rnacentral:ncRNA from 1 species